AUUGAACGCUGGCGGCACGCUUUACACAUGCAAGUCGAACGGUAACAGGUUAAGCUGACGAGUGGCGAACGGGUGAGUAAUGCAUCGGAACGUGCCCGGUCGUGGGGGAGAACGCAGCGAAAGCUGCGCUAAUACCGCAUACGAUCUGAGGAUGAAAGCGGGGGACCGUAAGGACCCGCGCGAUCGGAGCGGCCGAUGUCAGAUUAGGUAGUUGGUGGGGUAAAGGCUCACCAAGCCGACGAUCUGUAGCUGGUCUGAGAGGACGACCAGCCACACUGGGACUGAGACACGGCCCAGACUCCUACGGGAGGCAGCAGUGGGGAAUUUUGGACAAUGGGCGCAAGCCUGAUCCAGCAAUGCCGCGUGCAGGAAGAAGGCCUUCGGGUUGUAAACUGCUUUUGUACGGAGCGAAAAGGCUCUCUCUAAUACAGGGGGCUCAUGACGGUACCGUAAGAAUAAGCACCGGCUAACUACGUGCCAGCCGCCGCCGUAA
rnacentral:rRNA from 1 species